GAGGCGUCCCGGACAGCGGCUUGGUGGCGCGCAGUUCCCACUGCCUGUGCGCGCCCGCGUCUGGGCUCCUUUGCAGAGGACUUGAUAGCUGCAGCUCCCGGAGCACAGCGGGCAGAGCUGCGGGCUGCGCGCGCCCUUGCUGCCACCGGGCGUCCCGCGGUGGCUCCCGCGCCCCGCGGCGACUUCCGAGCCCGCGCUUCCCUUUGUUCAAGUCCCGGAGCGGCGGCGGGGUCGAAGCCCGCGCCCUGGGCGACUGAGGCGGCCGCAGUCCGCGCCCCGGCGCCCUGGCGAUGCCGGACCAGAUCUCUGUGUCGGAAUUCGUGGCCGAGACCCUUGAGGACUACAAGGCGCCCAUGGCCUCUAGCUUCACCACACGCGCACGGCCCAGUGCCGCAACACCGUGGCGGCCGUCGAGGAG
rnacentral:lncRNA from 1 species